rnacentral:tRNA from 2 species
GCGAUGGUGGUGGAAUUGGUAGACACGCUAGUCUCAGAAGCUAGUGGCCUUACGGCUGUGCGGGUUCAAGUCCCGCCCUUCGCA